rnacentral:rRNA from 1 species
GGGUGCAGCAGGCGCGAAAACUUUACAAUGCUGGAAACAGCGAUAAGGGGACCUCGAGUGCCAGGUUACAAAUCUGGCUGUCGUGAUGCCUAAAAAGCAUUGCAUAGCAAGGGCCGGGCAAGACCGGUGCCAGCCGCCGCGGUAACACCGGCGGCUCGAGUGGUAACCGUUAUUAUUGGGUCUAAAGGGUCUGUAGCCGGCCAGAUAAGUCUCUUGGGAAAUCCAGCAGCUCAACUGUUGGGCUUUCAGGAGAUACUGUCUGGCUCGAGGCCGGGAGAGGUGAGAGGUACUUCAGGGGUAGGGGUGAAAUCUUGUAAUCCUUGAAGGACCACCAGUGGCGAAGGCGUCUCACCAGAACGGACCUGACGGCAAGGGACGAAAGCUAGGGGCACGAACCGGAUUAGAUACCCGGGUAGUCCUAGCCGUAAACGAUACUCGCUAGGUGUCGGCCACGGUGCGACCGUUGUCGGUGCCGUAGGGAAGCCGUGAAGCGAGCCACCUGGGAAGUACGGCCGCAAGGCUGAAACUUAAAGGAAUUGGCGGGGGAGCAC